AUGUCAAGGUUGGGGCAUUUUCUGAAAAAAAAAUUUGAACCUCUCUCAUGCCUCAAGAUAGCUCUCUAAAUCUUUUUGCUUGAAAGUGUGGACGUCAUUCCUAAUUU
rnacentral:snoRNA from 1 species